rnacentral:rRNA from 1 species
GUGAGGAAUAUUGGGCAAUGGGCGAAAGCCUGACCCAGCCACGCCGCGUGAGUGAUGAAGGCCUCCGGGUUGUAAAGCUCUGUGGGGAGGGAAGAAAAAGCGGGAGAGUAACUGCUCUCGUGUUGACGGUACCUCCUUAGCAAGCACCGGCUAACUCUGUGCCAGCAGCCGCGGUAAUACAGAGGGUGCAAACGUUGCUCGGAAUUACUGGGCGUAAAGCGCGUGUAGGCUGACAUGCAAGUCGGGUGUGAAAUCCCAGGGCUCAACCUUGGAACUGCACUCGAAACUGCACGUCUUGAGUACUGGAGAGGGAAGCGGAAUUCCGGGUGUAGAGGUGAAAUUCGUAGAUAUCCGGAGGAACACCAGUGGCGAAGGCGGCUUCCUGGACAGUAACUGACGCUGAGACGCGAAAGCGUGGGGAGCAAACAGGAUUAGAUACCCUUGUAGUCC